rnacentral:rRNA from 1 species
UACAGAGGGUGCGAGCGUUGUUCGGAAUUAUUGGGCGUAAAGGGCGCGUAGGCGGUGCGGUAAGUCACCUGUGAAAUCUCCUGGCUCAACUGGGAGCUUGCAGGCGAAACUGCCGUGCUGGAGUGUGGGAGAGGUGCGUGGAAUUCCUGGUGUAGCGGUGAAAUGCGUAGAUAUCAGGAGGAACACCGGUGGCGAAGGCGGGUCUCUGGGCAACAACUGACGCUGAGGAGCGAAAGCGUGGGGGCGCAACAGG